UACAGAGGGUGCAAGCGUUGUCCGGAAUCACUGGGCGUAAAGGGCGCGUAGGCGGCCUGAUAAGUCGGGGGUGAAAUGCUGCGGCUUAACCGCAGCACUGCCUUCGAGACUGUCGGGCUUGAGCACGGUAGAGGCAGAUGGAAUUCCCGGUGUAGCGGUGGAAUGCGUAGAGAUCGGGAAGAACAUCGGUGGCGAAGGCGGCAUCCUGGACCGACAUUGACGCUGAGGCGCGAAAGCCAGGGGAGCAAACGGG
rnacentral:rRNA from 1 species